rnacentral:rRNA from 1 species
CCCACGUUCGGAUUGUAGUCUGNAACCGACUACAUGAAGCUGGAAUCGCUAGUAAUCGCAGGUCAGCAUACUGCGGUGAAUACGUUCCCGGGUCUUGUACACACCGCCCGUCACACCAUGGGAGCCGGAAAUGCCCGAAGCCAGUGACCCAACCUUAGGGAGGGAGCUGUCGAAGGUGGAGCCGGUAACUGGGGUGAAGUCGUAACAAGGUAAC